rnacentral:rRNA from 1 species
UACGAAGGGGGCUAGCGUUGUUCGGAAUCACUGGGCGUGAAGCGCACGCAGGCGGAUCGAUAAGUCGGGGGUGAAAGCCCGGGGCUCAACCUCGGAAUUGCCUUCGAUACUGUCGGUCUCGAGUCCGGGAGAGGUGAGUGGAAUUCCUAGUGUAGAGGUGAAAUUCGUAGAUAUUAGGAAGAACACCAGUGGCGAAGGCGGCUCUCUGGCCCGGUACUGACGCUCAGGUGCGAAAGCUUGGGGAUCAAACAGU